GUGGUGGCAGGCCGCGCUUGUACCUGUCGGGAUCAAAAUUCCCGACUAGGACAUGCAGCAACUUUUAGGUCAGUGGGGCACUGACCCGCCAUA
rnacentral:tRNA from 1 species